AGGUUUCCAGAGUAAAGCUGAUCUGCUCUGGGUAAGUCGGGGCCUAAGGCGAGGUCGAAAGACGUAGUCGAUGGAUAACAGGUGGAGAUUCCUGUACUAUGUGUACCCAGAACUGUGGGGACGCAUGUGGAGAGCACGAGCCGGGAAAGAGAAAACCGGUACAAGCGGGGUAGGAGUAAGGACAGCAAAUCUUCCUUACAAUCCGAAGACGUAAUGUGGACCGAACCAAAGUAGGGAAGCGUGUGAGCCAUGUGCCAAGAAAAGCCGCUAUUGUGAUACACAUACCCGUACCGUAAACCGACACAGGUGGAUGAGGAGAGAAUCCUAAGGCCGACGGAAGAAGCAUUGUUAAGGAACUCGGCAAAAUGACCCCGUAACUUCGGGAGAAGGGGUGCCUGCGAGAGCAGGCCGCAGAGAAUAGGCUCAAGCAACUGUUUAGCAAAAACACAGGUCUAUGCGAAACCGAAAGGUGAGGUAUAUGGGCUGACGCCUGCCCGGUGCUGGAAGGUUAAGAGGAGAAGUCAGGCAACGAAGCUUCGAAUUUAAGCCCCAGUAAACGGCGGCCGUAACUAUAACGGUCCUAAGGUAGCGAAAUUCCUUGUCGGGUAAGUUCCGACCCGCACGAAAGGCGUAAUGAUUUGAGCGCUGUCUCGACAAUGCACCCGGUGAAAUUGAAAUACCAGUGAAGAUGCUGGUUACCUGCGCCAGGACGGAAAGACCCCAUGGAGCUUUACUCCAGCUUGAUACUGGGAUUCGGUAAUGCAUGCACAGGAUAGGUGGGAGGCUACGAGUACGGAACUCCGGUUUCGUAUGAGCCGCUGUUGGGAUACCACCCUUGCGUUACUGGGUUUCUAACCAUGGUCCAUGAUCUGGAUCGGGGACAAUGUCAGGUGGGGAGUUUGACUGGGGCGGUCGCCUCCGAAAGGGUAUCGGAGGCGCUCAAAGGUUCCCUCAGAAUGGUUGGAAACCAUUCGAAGAGUGCAAAGGCAGAAGGGAGCUUGACUGCGACACCGACGGGUGGAGCAGGUACGAAAGUAGGACUUAGUGAUCCGGUGGUAUAAAGUGGGAUUGCCAUCGCUCAACGGAUAAAAGCUACCCUGGGGAUAACAGGCUUAUCACUCCCAAGAGUUCACAUCGACGGAGUGGUUUGGCACCUCGAUGUCGGCUCAUCGCAUCCUGGGGCUGUAGCAGGUCCCAAGGGUUGGGCUGUUCGCCCAUUAAAGCGGUACGCGAGCUGGGUUCAGAACGUCGUGAGACAGUUCGGUCCCUAUCCGGCGCAGGCGGAGGAUAUUUGAGAGGAGCUGUCCUUAGUACGAGAGGACCGGGAUGGACGGACCACUGGUGUAUCUGUUGGCUAUCAGAGCCAUGGCAGAGUAGCCAAGUCCGGCAGGGAUAAACGCUGAAGGCAUCUAAGCGUGAAGCCCCCCUCAAGAUGAGAUAUCCCAUUCGAAAGAAGUAAGACCCCUUGAAGACGACGAGGUAGAUAGGGCAGAGGUGGAAGUGCAGUAAUGUACGGAGCUGACUGUUACUAAUCGGUCGAGGGCUUAUCCA
rnacentral:rRNA from 1 species